rnacentral:rRNA from 1 species
UACGUAGGUGGCAAGCGUUGUCCGGAUUUACUGGGCGUAAAGAGCGCGCAGGCGGUCGUAUAAGUCGAAUGUGAAAGCCCCCGGCUCAACUGGGGAGGGUCAUUCGAUACUGUUCGACUCGAAGGCAGGAGAGGGAAGUGGAAUUCCGGGUGUAGUGGUGAAAUGCGUAGAUAUCCGGAGGAACACCAGUGGCGAAGGCGGGUCUCUGGGCCGAUACUGACGCUGAGGAGCGAAAGCGUGGGGAGCAAACAGG